rnacentral:lncRNA from 1 species
UAGCAACCAAUAAUGCAACAUGUUUGCCGAGUGUAAACUGGAGGUUACUCAAUACGAUGAUGUGUUUUGAGUGUAGAACAUGUUAAGACAUUACUCGCAUGUGAAACUUAUAUUCAACAUUUAGUUCCCAACUCCAAAAUCUGGCAUUUUAAGACAUUACUUGUUGCUCCAUCUAUUUAGAGGAUAAUAUUCAACAUAAAUAAAUAAUGAUAUAUUCAAUUUUGAAUGACAUGUAUAUUAAAAUAGUCAAUAAAUUCAAGCAAAAUAAAUAUUUAGAUACUUAGAUAUACAUUUGUUGCUCCCUUAAAAAAACUAAUCUCAAAAUUUAAAAUUUGCUCUUGGAAUUUCAAAUAAACAUAAAGAUUUUAUUGCUUUUUUAUUGUUUGCCGAGUGUCUUCAAAAAACACUCGACAAGCAUAAACUUUGCCGAGUGUUUUUGUUUGCGGAGUGUAACACUCGCCAAAGUGUGUGUUGCCGAUUGUUAUUUUUUUUGCCAAGUGUUAUCGCCUAUACACUUGGCAAAUGACGUGUUUUUAUGUGCCCGAUGAAACACACCCUGCAAACAGCCCGACACUCCACAUACAAUGUAUUUUCCUUUGUGAAGAAAAUAAAUUAAAUAGGAAUAUUAAGUGAGCUGCCGAUCUUAUUAUGUGGUAUGUGGCUUGACCCUCUUAUUAGCUUCUGCAUGUGCUUCCAGGCCGAGAUCACACGAAAAAAGUACUAUGGAGCCACGUCCAGCGUGAGAACUCUCUUUUCAAACUAAACUUCGUUCAAUCUUCCAGAACUAUCCAAACUGAAUACCUUGCAUAUCUCCAUAUAGUGUACAGUAGUAAACGUGGACCUAUACCACGGUAUCAUCCUUGAGGCAUGCGAGCACAACAACAAUUCAUAAUUUUUGUCCGUACGUGUAUUCAAUCCAGAAAAAUACCUAGAUGUGUUUCUCUCGUUGAUCUUCUUGCGUCCAUAAAUAUCAUAUGUUUAUGAGUAGAUGCAGAUUGGAAGUGUUACUCCAUACAACUCCAAUGAUAUGCUUGGCCCAUUUGAUACAACAUAUUUAUAUUAUGUUUAGCCCACUUGAUAUAACAUAUUUAUAUUAUGUUUCUCCUCCAUUAUGCCAUAAUCUUUCAUGUAUCACAUGAUUUAAGUUUAACUAACAAUACAAGUGACAUGAUACAAAACAAUAUUUCAAAAAGCAUUACUCUAUACAACUCCAAUGAUAUACAUUGUUUGCUUAUAACUUUUUUUUUGUGAAUACCAUAAUAUAUCAUACAUAAAGUGUGAUACACGUUCAGCUUCUAUUUUAAAAAGAAUGAAUCACCGCAUAAUCAUUCGUAAGCAGUCGUAUGACCACAAAUAAUUUGCACUGUACGUAGAUGUGGCUGGCUAUAUAAAGGCAUGGACACAGAUAUGCAAGAGCAGCAUGUAUGCUUUUAUCACACCUUGAAUAUACUUAUGGCAUUUACAUCUAACAUUAUUAGGUAGGUGGAUAUGUCAGACUUCAGUGUUGGUAAUGUACGUAAGAUUGGACUUGUCUUAAAACUAGUGAGAACUUGAAACAAAUAUGUGUUUUUGUUCGCAAAUUUGGUGAGCGUGAUUAUAUGUGCACUCCUUAUGAAUACUAAAUUCGAAACAAAUAGUAGAUUAAAAAAAUCUUUCUUGACAUACUUGUGUAUGGCGUUUCAUAAAGAAUGACAUAUGUGGUAUUCUUGGCAAAAAUAAAAAAACAUCAAAUUCAUAUUAAAAAACAUUGAUGAGUGAACAGUAAGGCCCUAAUUGUAUAUUACUUUCGCUAAGAAUACCACAGAUGUCUUUUCUGCACCAAACUUCACACACGGGUAAAUUAGUCGACCAAAUUUGAUACUAUGAAUUUUUUUGUUCACCUUCGUAUUUUCGUUUUGUUACCUACUAGUUUGCUCAAAAUAUAUAGAAAACAUUCCUACAAACCAUACAUACAAUUAAUUAGAAAACAAAUCAAUAGAAAUUAUUUGUUUACUUAAUGAAAAUUGUUUUUUACUUAAUGGCAGAUUGAAGAGUACUUCCAUUUUGUGUAUGGGGAUGAUGCCACUGAGAUCAACUUAUCUCUGAGAGGUACUCUGCUUUCUUGUCGAUUUUCGAACUUCACUACACAUACAUACAUAGUCCCAAAUAUAUUUAUAGAUGAUACUUCAGGGUUUUUACCCAAGGACAAUUGGACGAAAAGGCCACGAGGUCCUCGCAAGAAAAGGAAAUUCCCGUCGGUGAGUCUGAGUUUUGGGUGUGUUCACAUAAGCCACAUGUCUAUUCAUUGUCGUGCUACAAUUGCAUAUACAUAUUCUUUAGCUUAUUGUUAUGAUAUGAACAUGCUAUAGAAUAUGAUGAUCAAAGUACUUUUAAGAUUCAAAAAAUAUCCAAACAAUUAUUUUUGGAAUACAUUUACAUGUAUAGAUGUAUAUGUGCAUACAAAAUAUUAGACAUAAAUUCCUGGUCAAAAAGAUAUGAACCACAUGGCCUCUGCAAGUGGGCGAGGUAUUUAUAAUUCCUGGUCGAAAGUAAUUCUCAUUGAAGAAAGCUGAUUUAUGAUGCCUUGGAAUGUAUUCACGUGGUCUGCAAUUAAAGUACUCUAUUUGUACCUCAAACACGUCAAUUGUUUGAUCAAGAACAUCUUAUUUGUAUCUUUUUUUUGGGCAAACAACUCCUCCAAUUUCGGUCAUAAGGUGUGUGCAUGUGUCUCAUCAAUGAUAUGGUUCAAAACAUUGUCAUCGACUCAUUGUCGAACGAACGCAUAAGCUUGGCGAUGAAGUACCUUCCACCGACCUUCAUCAAUGCCCUUCGGCAUCUUAGUGGAAAAUGUUGGUUUCAGUAUUUUUUUGACAUAUAACAAGUCCUCUAUCUUGCCCUUCCAUAUUUCAUAAUUUGUUUCAUUCAAAGAUAUCAUCCUGCUGGCAUUCACUUCAAUCUUUCACCAAAACAAACUCAACAAUCAGCACAAGCAAGCCAAAACUCUGAUGCCACUUUGUUGGGGCUGGACAUCAAAGAUGUGAUGCACAAAUUCAUCGACACGACAAAUAUGCACACUACACAACCUCCUUCAAUUGGAAUGAACUUUUAAGACAACUUCAACCAACAAGUAAGCAACACAAACAACAUGCACAUGUGACACGGGAUUUAACACGGGAAAACCUCCUCAAAUUGAGAAGUAAAAACCACGACUAUGGACCAACCGCUCCACACAAGUUUACUAUGAGAAUGGUGAGUACAAAGUCUUCUCUAGGCCUCUAGAGAGAUUGAGAUUUACAACACACUCUCCAAGUUGCCAACCGGCAACCACAAGAGGCAAGAUAUCAACAAAGUAGAGUUUAUACAGCUUCAUUCCCUUUCGGUGUUUUGCAAACUGCUCUUAAACCGCUAAACAAAAUAGUACCAAAUUUGGCAGACAAGUAGACGCACGAGUUCUUGAGAUCCCGUAAAAAAUGCAGCUCAAUUGGACACCGUUUGCAUACCCAAAUUGUUCGUCUCUCAAAACUACUCUUUUCUGAAGCCGCAGCAGUCGGAGUUGACAAACCACUCUCAAAUCCGGUGCUCCAUUGACCCAAUCCUCAAACCAGCUAACUAGAUUGAAGUAAUCAAAGUAAGGAACAAGCUCAUCAAGUUUUGGGUCAAUCCAAGCACGUUUGAGCCACCAAUCACUAGCUUGAACACUGUCUAGUCAGAUGCAGCAGAUCUGACAGAACCUCCACUUCUUCUUCUUCUUCCUCUUAUCUAUAAGGUUGUGUACCUAUCUUGUGUUCUCUCUCACUCUCAUAAUGUCACCUACCACUACUAGGGGUGGAGUGGCUAGGGUUUUCUUCUCUACUCCCUUCACUAGGAAGCACUCACAACUGUUGGAUGCAACGAAGAUCAACAACUGACAUGUGUUGGACUUUUGGGUUGAUGUUGGGCAGCCAAUAAAGCUCCAUGUGGAGAGACUUAGCCCAACACCCUCGACCGAUAUAGCAAUAUAAACCAAUAGGGGUAAUGUUUUACCACGUAAGGAGGGCAUGAAUCUGGAUAAAUCUGGUCUCCUGUUUUCCCUCCGAUCUACUCACCUUGCUAGGAUACCCUAUCGAAGGAUCUGCCAGAACCAGCUCCGACAAAUAUUCUACUCCUAUUUUUGAUAAUUUCACUGGUAUACAUUUCCGCAGCAACACGCGGGUGUUAUCUACUCCCUCCGUUUCUAAAUAUAAGACCUUUUAGAGAUUUCAAUAUGGACUACAUACGGAUGUAUAUAGACAUAUUUUAGUUUGUAGAUUCACUCUUUUACUUCGUAUGUAGUCCCUACUGAAAUAUCUAGAAAGACUUAUAUUUAGGAACAGAGGGAGUCCUUUUACUUAUGCGUAAGUACCUUCUGGCUAGCACACUGCUGGUGACCUUUUUGACCGUCAUACCUCCCAUGAGACCAUGGUCUGCCCCAGGUUAAUUUUGACAUGUUCCUUUGUAACUUCUGAUGUCUCUUUGCUUUAUCUAUAAGUUAUUUAAAAGAAGAAACAUGCAAUGAGAUCAACCAAACAAGGUUUGCUGAAGCGUGUAACUCUUAGGAUAAAACAAGUUUAUUUUUCAUGUAAAAAUUCAGCCAUUAGUUCCACAUACAAGAAUAUUCUAUACAUGGAUUUUAUAUUUUAGUUUUGAAUUCUUCAAGUACAUAGAUUUGUUUUAUCACCCAACCACGGGUAAAAAAGUGUCCAUAAUUCCUCUGGUGUUUAACAGAACCCACAGUGCGUAGGACAGUUGCAUGUUGGGAGUAAGGGCACGAAAUCUCGAGGUAGAAAAAACAAUGAGCGAUGGACACCUGACGAGGUGACCAUACUGCUUAAAGGUAUCCGUAGAUAUGGUGAGGGGAAAUGGACAAAAGUGAAGAAAUGGUACUUCAGAAAAUCGGUUCGAACGGCAGUACAUCUGAAGGUACAUGACCUCUUUGAUUCAAGUAGUUUCCAUAUAAAUCAUGAAGGAUUAUGUUCCAUAUAAUACUUUUAUCGAGCCUAUUGGAUUUAUUAGAUUGAUACUGUUUGGAGUUUUCUUAUGGGCUAGUUUGGAUGCAACUAAGUAGAUUCUUCCUUGUCUAUGACAACUAGGAAAUGCUUUUUUGAUAGGCAAUAGAACAUCCAUUACAUAUUUAUGUAUUUUGAAAUGUCAAUAUAAAUAUUCCAUGAUAUGUAAUAUGUGCUUUUCUGUUUGUGAGUUUUUAUAACUGUGUGAAUCAAGGUGGAGUUCGGCGAUAUUUUGCCUGUAAAUACUAGAUACAUUUACAUAUUUGAGUUUCUUUUUUGGAUGGGAGGUGCAUUUGUAAGUUUGCUGGCACACGUUAAUGGAUCACAUUGUUUGAUCGAUGGUGCAGGAUAAGUGGAGAAACCUACGCAAAGCUUGUGGAGGUCAGGUGUACCUCUCAAAAGGUCGUUUUCUCUCUCAAGGCAGCUGAUUUUACAUGCCCAGGCUACCUCAUUAUCUUACAUCCAUAUUUAUUUUGGUACAGUGGAAGACACAAAAUACUAUGUUCCAGCCGUUGGACGAAGAUUUGGUGUGACAGAUCAGAAAGCUAGCUAGGUCAUAGCCGGAUAACUGUUCAGCCUUUAGGCCGGUCCCAUGGUCAUCUGUUAAUAGUCGUACAUAAAUUUGUCAUGUCACUGAGAUAAUCUUUAGAUGAAAAAAUAUUUAACAUAGUGGAUCGUACUUUUACUGACACCAUCUUAGUCUAUUUGGAACAUGAGUGAGAAAUUUAGUGGUUUGUUAAUUGGUUUGUGUUAAUGAUUGAUUCGCCACCAAUCUUAC